rnacentral:rRNA from 1 species
CCUACGGGAGGCAGCAGUGAGGAAUAUUGGUCAAUGGGCGUAAGCCUGAACCAGCCAAGUCGCGUGAGGGAUGAAGGUUCUAUGGAUCUUAAACCCCUUUUAUAAGGGAAUAAAGAGCGGGACGUGUCCCUUUUUGUAUGUACCUUAUUAAUAAGGAACGGCGAACUCCGUUCCAGCAGCCGCGGUAAUGCGGAGGAUCCGAUCGUUAUCCGGAUUUAUUGGGUUUAAAGGGUGCGUAGGCGGCCUUUUAAGUCAUCGGUGAAAGUCGUUGGCUCAACCAUAGAAUUGCCGUUGAAACUGGGAGGCUUGAGUAUGUUUGAGGCAGGCGGAAUGCGUGGUGUAGCGGGGAAAUGCUUAGAGAUCAGGCAGAACACCGAUUGCGAAGGCAGCCUGCUAAGCCAUGACUGACGCUGAGGCACGAAAGCGUGGGGAUCAAACAGGAUUAGAUACCCCUGUAGUC